GAUGAACGCUCGCUACAGGCUUAACACAUGCAAGUCGCGGGGCAGCAUGGGGGUUGCUUGCAAUCCCCGAUGGCGACCGGCGCACGGGUGAGUAACGCGUAUCCAACCUGCCCUUCACCACGGGAUAACCCGGCGAAAGUCGGACUAAUACCGUAUGUUGUCCAUUGACGGCAUCCGAUUUGGACGAAAGGUUUGGCGGUGAAGGAUGGGGAUGCGUCCGAUUAGCUGGACGGCGGGGUGACGGCCCACCGUGGCGACGAUCGGUAGGGGUUCUGAGAGGAAGGUCCCCCACACUGGAACUGAGACACGGUCCAGACUCCUACGGGAGGCAGCAGUGAGGAAUAUUGGUCAAUGGGCGUAAGCCUGAACCAGCCAAGUAGCGUGCAGGAUGACGGCCCUAUGGGUCGUAAACUGCUUUUAUGCGGGGAUAAAGUGGCCCACGUGUGGGUUUUUGCAGGUACCGCAUGAAUAAGGGCCGGCUAAUUCCG
rnacentral:rRNA from 1 species